ensembl:ncRNA lncRNA:CR45942 long non-coding RNA:CR45942
GUCAUAUUUCCAGCUAUUUUGAAUUCUCAGCUCCGCAUUGCCGGAUCGCCAAGUGGAGGAUGAAGAACUCCGACUCGAAGGCAGGGUGCGGCAUCCAUGGCAUCCGAGCUGCGAGAAUUUAAGCUCCGGGCGGAUGCCACUCAACCCCCUGGUGGCGCUAAUCUCCCCUGGAACCCACGACCACCAGGACCACCGACUGGCCCGGAGUGCGCCCAAGGAUACGGGCGUUGGUCUAUUAUUCCUGCUGACGACAAUAUUUCACAUUCUGUUUCGGCAAUUUCCAGCUGGCGGCCCUCACCCGGCGACCCCUUCGUUCGCCUUGCCCUUUACUUUGGUUUAUGUUUUUGUUUCCGGUUAUAUUGUGAGUUGCCGCCCACUGCGGCUUGGCUUACUCUGCCAGGAUUUGUCAGAGGAAUUGGGUAUAUUGGAAUAGCACAAAUGGUAUAUAAAGGGUGAACAAGAAAUGGUAUAAGAUCAAAAAGAAAUAGUAUUGGAUC